AUGCUUCCACCGUAAGCCACGACACUUCUUCAACAAGCCAUCAACAAGCUUCGUCUGCACGCCAACGCGAUGGCUUGUAUCCGAAGCCCACUCGUUUUAUAAAUAAGCACUCAUGCUUCAAUACUUCACUCACACUUCUCUUUCAAAUCUCCACAACAAUGAACCCGUACUUAGAAUCCAAUUUUCUUGUUAGGAUGAUGGAAGAAAUGGAAGAGGAAGAAGAAGAGUUGUAGAUGGCGACGUACCUGCAUAUUAGGAGGAGUCGUGCACGCAACGAGCGUGGUCACGGUGGUUCCAUUCCUGGGCGUGUUCGGAUUCAUCGUGAUCACAUGAGCGGCGAUGCAAGAAUCCGAGUGGACUAAUUUGGAGCCCAACCCGUGUACACGGAUGCUCAAUUCCAUAGGAGGUUCCGCAUGCGUCGCCAUGUGUUUGAGCGCCUGGUUGAUGUUGUGCAACAAGUCGAUCCAUACUUUAUUUAGCGCCCAAACUGUACCGGUGAGAUAGGUCUUUCUGCUCUGCAGAAAGUUGUUGCUGUUGUUCGCAUCCUUGCUUAUGGUAUUCCUGCUGAUGCGGUCGACGAAUACGUACGCAUUGGUGAAUCUACCGCU